UGGGGCAUAUUGCACAAUGGGCGCAAGCCUGAUGCAGCCAUGCCGCGUGUAUGAAGAAGGCCUUCGGGUUGUAAAGUACUUUCAGCGGGGAGGAAGGCGAUAAGGUUAAUAACCUUUUCGAUUGACGUUACCCGCAGAAGAAGCACCGGCUAACUCCGUGCCAGCAGCCGCGGUAAUACGGAGGGUGCAAGCGUUAAUCGGAAUUACUGGGCGUAAAGCGCACGCAGGCGGUCUGUCAAGUCGGAUGUGAAAUCCCCGGGCUCAACCUGGGAACUGCAUUCGAAACUGGCAGGCUAGAGUCUUGUAGAGGGGGGUAGAAUUCCAGGUGUAGCGGUGAAAUGCGUAGAGAUCUGGAGGAAUACCGGUGGCGAAGGCGGCCCCCUGGACAAAGACUGACGCUCAGGUGCGAAAGCGUGGGGAGCAAACA
rnacentral:rRNA from 1 species